rnacentral:rRNA from 1 species
UACGUAGGGUGCAAGCGUUGUCCGGAAUUAUUGGGCGUAAAGAGCUCGUAGGCGGUCUGUUGCGUCGGCUGUGAAAACCCGGGGCUCAACCCCGGGCCUGCAGCCGAUACGGGCAGACUAGAGUUCGGCAGGGGAGACUGGAAUCCCUGGUGUAGCGGUGAAAUGCGCAGAUAUCAGGAGGAACACCGGUGGCGAAGGCGGGUCUCUGGGCAACAACUGACGCUGAGGAGCGAAAGCGUGGGGAGCGAACAGG